UCUUUCCCUAGGUGCAUUGAGGGUAUGGCUGCUGUGGUAUGUGCAUCAAUAGAUAGCAGAGAAGAGAGAGGCUAUGUCUAUUCUCAGUGUUCUGACAUAUGAACAUCUAAAUGAUCAGUUCCCUCAUUGU